rnacentral:lncRNA from 1 species
UGGUACGAUAUCAACCUAAUUACAUAAACUCAAAAAUUAAGUAAAUUCUAAAAAAUCUUAUCAUGAUGAACUAUUAAGUAAAAAUAUUUCUAAUACAAUAGUCGCUUAAAUUUAUAUUUUUCUUAAAAACUAAUUAGGCUUACAUUUACCAUUUUAUUAUUUUAUAAUAAUUUUGUUUAUAAUUUAUUGAUUUUGAAAAGGCAUAGACCCAAUACAACCACAUUAUAAUUCUUGAAAGAAAAAACGCUACUGAAACCUAACCUAUUGAAUAACAUUCAUGAAGCACAAGACCCACAACUCAAAUCCUAGUGGUUUGAGCAGAAGAGCCUGUCAC